GUACCAAGGAACCUUCUUUUUGUAACUAUGAUGGUGCAUAUACGUUAUAGUGUCUAGUCACACUACAUUUACCUAGUACGGCACCACAUACAGCUUGAGUAUCCACAUCAGUCCCACCGCUAUCAUAAUGUGUGAAGUCUUGCUUGAGAAUGCUCCGGGCACCUGGGUGUAGAAGGAAGAAUAGAAAUUUCGAUAACAAAAUCCUAAAUAGAAUACUAACAAUGCUCUAAUUAGACUAUAAUAAUGGUAAACAAACGGAAUCAAAUUCAAAACAACUCAAAGAAAUUUCAAACAAACAAUAAAAUUCUUAAAGAAAUAUUAGAAUGAUCACAAAUUUUACUCAAAUAUAUGUCAAUUCAACCUUAAUUUAAUUCUAGUUAAAACCCUAUUGAAUUUUAGUCAACUUUAGACCAAACCUAAUUAAAUCUUAAACCUUAAUAAUUCCUAAAUCCUAAGUCAAAUCCUAAACAAAUCUUAAAUUAAACCCUAUUCCAAACCCUAAACCCUAAACCAACCCUAAAUCAAAUCCUAACCAAAUCCUAAUCCAAACCCUAAAUCAAACCCUAACCGAACCUUAAAUCCUAAUCCAAACCCUAAUUCAACCCUAAACUCUAAUCCAAAUCCUAAACCCUAAACCAAACCUUAAAUCAAACCCUAACCAAACCCUAGUCCAAAAUCUAAUCCAAAUCCUAAAUCAAACCCUAAUCCAAACCCUAAUCCAAAUCCUAAACCCUAAACUAAACCUUA
rnacentral:lncRNA from 1 species